AAGUAGGGGAGACUGGGGCUGGUAGUGACAGGGGUAGGUUGUUACAGUGGCAACGGUGGCGAAACAGAGAACGCUAUACUGACGUCAGAAAGAGACAAAUACUCCCGCCGCGACCGGCUACUACACCGCAAGAGCCAGUGGCGCUAACGUGUUUAUGUGAGGAGCACGCGCGUGCUGCCAUUAAAAUCGCAGGAUGAGGACGUAUAAAAGAAAAUCUGAGCGUGGCAACAUAUCUAAAGAUGUAUACGAACAAGCAGCAGUUAUUUUAGACAAUUACAAUCCUGGCAAGACAAUGUCUAUUCACGAUAUUCCAUCGAUAGUGAAUAAAGCUUUACCAUCGGCAUUGAAUCCAGCGAACAUUAUCAAUGGAUUUAAAAAGACUGGUAUUGCGCCAUUUAAUAAAGAUGUUUUUCAGGAUGAUGACUUCUUGUCUGCUUUUGUGACGGAUAGACCAAUCCUCGGACAUUCCGAUGAUACACCAAUAGACGAAAUGACUAACUCAAACAUCGAAAAUAUCCCUCAUACCACAACACUGAACACAGAGGUUGAAAUUUCACCUCCACCCCCUCCCCAGUCUCCUACAGAAAGUGCCAUGGCAGAACGCGAAUACUCCAUUUAUACUAACCCAGUUGCUGGUUGUAGCAAGGAUAUAAUGCCCAAUGAAAAUGCCUUUUCUCCCGAGAUUGUUCGGCCUUAUCCAAAAGCCGCUGCGAGAACAAACAAAAUAAAACGAAAACUCGGAAAUCAGCUGUUUUAACAGACACUCCCGAAAAAACUGCGUUGGCGCUGGAACAGAGUAAGAAGAAGGAAAAUAAGCCUAAAAGUGGAAAGUCUACCAAAGGGCAAAAAACAGGAAAGAAAAAUGACCAAGGAAAUACCAGUAAAGGAAAGAAAAUAAAGGAACAGGAAAGCUUUCUGUACAGAGAAAGGUAUUACACGAAAGUGAUGAAGAAAGCGAAGAAGACGGUUAUUUUGUCUGAUUUGUUGUGAUCCUUUUGAUCCAAAAAAAUCUGGUGAGGAAUGGGUAGAAUGUGUUGUUUGUAAGAAUUGGUCACAUGUGAAAUGUGUUAGGGGUAAUAUUGUACAUUAUGUAUGUUUGAAUUGUGAAAGUGACUGUUCAGACUACAGUGACUGAACUCUGAUCUGUUAAGUUUUUCUUUAAGAAUCUGAUUUUUUUAAGAAAGGUUAAUUUUGGUAUUUUUAUUAAUGAGUCAUAAUACUAUUCGUUUUGUUUAUUUAUACUUAUGUUUUGUUAAAUACAGAAGUUUAUAAGUUUAUAGGUCAGAAAUUAUUCAUAAAUAUUAUUUUCACGAGGUGUAAAACCAAAAAAAAAAAUUGAUUUAAAUUUUAGAAUAUAACAUGUUUUUGUGUCCACGAGGAAUAAGACUGCUUUAAGCAUUAUUACUAUUGUCAUUUAAAUUAAGUAAGAACUUAAUUGUGAUAAUUAUUUCUAAUAAAAACUCUUGUAAUA